rnacentral:rRNA from 1 species
UACGUAGGGGGCAAGCGUUGUCCGGAUUUAUUGGGCGUAAAGAGCGUGUAGGCGGCCAGGGAGGUCCGUUGUGAAAACUCGAGGCUCAACCUCGAGACGCCGAUGGAAACCCCCUGGCUAGAGUCCGGAAGAGGAGAGUGGAAUUCCUGGUGUAGCGGUGAAAUGCGCAGAUAUCAGGAAGAACACCCGUGGCUAAGGCGGCUCUCUAGUACGGUACUGACGCUGAGGAGCGAAAGCGUGGGGAGCGAACAGG